rnacentral:rRNA from 1 species
ACUCAAAGGAAUAGACGGGGGCCCGCACAAGCAGUGGAGCAUGUGGUUUAAUUGGAUGCUACGCCAAGAACCUUACCAAGACUUGACUUCCCGUCGCAAGCCCUUAGAAAUAGGGGCCCUCUUCGGACGGCGGUGACAGGUGGUGCAUGGUUGUCGUCAGCUCGUGCCGUGAGGUGUUGGAUUAAGUUCCGCAACGAGCGCAACCCUCGUGGUUAGUUGCCAUCAUUCAGUUGGGCACUCUAGCCAGACUGCCGGCGUCAAGCCGGAGGAAGGUGGGGAUGACGUCAAAUCAUCAUGCCCCUUACGUCUUGGGCUACACACGUGCUACAAUGGGCGGUACAACGGGUUGCCACGGCGCGAGCCGGAGCGAAUCCCUAAAGCCGUCCUCAGUUCGGAUUGCAGGCUGCAACUCGCCUGCAUGAAGCUGGAAUUGCUAGUAACCGUGCAUCAGCAUGGCGCGGUGAAUACGUACCCGGGCCUUGCACACACCGCCCGU